CCUGGUUACUUGAGCGACUUGGUACCACCCUUUCCCAUCCCGAACAAGGUCGUGAAACGAGUCAGCGCCGAUGAUACUCGCUCCAAAGCGGAGUAGGGGAAAGUAGGUCGUAGCCGGGG
rnacentral:rRNA from 1 species